GUGAAUCAUCAAAUUUUUGAACGCAAAUUGCACUCUCCGCGGAGAGGAUGCCUGUUUGAGUGUCAGCCUAUAUAAAAUCGACAUCAUUGCUGUUUCGCGGUGACGGUCGUCGGAAAUUGGGUCAUCUUAAAUCCGUUUGGUUUUAAGCGACUUAAAAAUUUCGUUUUGGUUCCAUGAACGUUUCUAGGAUGUUU
rnacentral:misc_RNA from 1 species